ACAAGUCUGAUACUUUUCAUACCAGUUUUUGCAGGCACACAUGGUAAUUUGCUUGUAUUUGUAAUUUUGUAGUUAAAUUCCUGGCAUUCCAUUUGGAUUUUGUUAUCAUUUCACCGGAUAUUUGUUCUUUUAUUUGUGAUUUCUUUUAACCAUAAGUAAGAAUUGAGUUAGUGUAAAUUUAGUCAUUUAAAUUUUUAAAAAAAUUAAUUAUUGCUUUUUAAUUUUCAAUGCAGGCAAGAGUGAGAGAGGAGGAAACAUGGAACGAAGCAAAGCACAUGUUGUAUGAAAGUUCACUGGAAGCGCUGAGGAGGGUGCUUUCAGAGAGCAAAGCAAAGGCAAAAGUGGCGAAUGACAUGGCCAACCUUGGUGUUGAUAGCCAAAGCUGCAGAAGCCUUAUUAGCUGAAGUGUUAAGCGGGUUGAAUCUGGAUGGAGUCGCCUUGCUGCUGGCGGAAAUGGUGGAGGGCAUUAGUGCGCUACUACCUAUCACAACUAAUCGCUUAUUUAUGUAUUUGGCUCAUGUUAGAAAUAAGUUCAGUUUUAUUUCUUUUUGAUAUAAUAGCGGAGGA
rnacentral:lncRNA from 1 species